UACGUAGGGUGCAAGCGUUAAUCGGAAUUACUGGGCGUAAAGCGCACGUAGGCGGCUUCUUAAGUCAGGGGUGAAAUCCUGGAGCUCAACUCCAGAACUGCCUUUGAUACUGAGAGGCUUGAGUCCGGGAGAGGUGAGUGGAACUGCGAGUGUAGAGGUGAAAUUCGUAGAUAUUCGCAAGAACACCAGUGGCGAAGGCGGCUCACUGGCCCGGUACUGACGCUGAGGUGCGAAAGCGUGGGGAGCAAACAGG
rnacentral:rRNA from 1 species